rnacentral:siRNA from 1 species
UAAGGACGAUUUUGGACUCAGGAA